rnacentral:lncRNA from 1 species
UGAUGUUAUAUUUGAAUUUGUAUUUUAAAAAUUUAGAUUUAAUAUAAUAUAUUUUGAAAUAUUGAAAAAAAAAUAAUUGUUUCGGGUUCAAAUUUUCGGGUUCGGGUUUCGAAUUUUUGGUCGGGUUCGGGUUUGGAUAUGGAUUUUUAAAAUUCGUCGGGUUCGGGUUCGGAUUCGGGUCUCGGGUUUGGAGUCGGGUUCGGGUUCGGAUUUUUAAAAAUCCGCCCCGAAUCCGACCCGUUGACAUCUCUAA